CCUACGGGAGGCAGCAGUGGGGAAUAUUGGGCAAUGGGCGCAAGCCUGACCCAGCAACGCCGCGUGAAGGAAGAAGGCUUUCGGGUUGUAAACUUCUUUUGUCAGGGACGAAGCGAGUGACGGUACCUGACGAAUAAGCCACGGCUAACUACGUGCCAGCAGCCGCGGUAAUACGUAGGUGGCAAGCGUUCUCCGGAUUUAUUGGGUUUAAAGGGCGUGUAGGCGGGAAUGCAAGUCAGAUGUGAAAACUAUGGGCUCAACCCUUAGCCUGCAGUUGAAACUGGAUUUCUUGAGUGCUGGAGAGGUAAUCGGAAUUCGGUGUGUAGCGGUGAAAUGCGUAGAUAUACGGAGGAACACCAGUGGCGAAGGCGGAUUGCUGGACAGUAACUGACGCUGAGGCGCGAAAGCGUGGGGAGCAAACAGGAUUAGAUACCCCUGUAGUC
rnacentral:rRNA from 1 species